rfam:Haemonchus contortus, ISE/inbred ISE, WGS project CAVP01000000 data, contig: Hcontortus_contig_pathogens_Hcontortus_scaffold_6980
GGACCAAAUUCGCAGUAAAGUAGAUCAGUAAGAUUAGCCGAUUAUACUGACCUACUCUACUUCGAGUUUGUGCCC